UACGAAGGGGGCUAGCGUUGCUCGGAAUCACUGGGCGUAAAGCGCACGUAGGCGGAUCCUAAGUCGGUGGUGAAAUCCUGGAGCUCAACUCCAGAACUGCCUCCGAUACUGAGAGUCUUCGAGUCCGGGAGAGGUGAGUGGAACUGCGAGUGUAGAGGUGAAAUUCGUAGAUAUUCGCAAGAACACCAGUGGCGAAGGCGGCUCACUGGCCCGGUACUGACGCUGAGGUGCGAAAGCGUGGGGAGCAAACAGG
rnacentral:rRNA from 1 species